rnacentral:rRNA from 1 species
AUUGAACGCUGGCGGCAGGCCUAACACAUGCAAGUCGAGCGAGCGGCGGACGGGUGGGUAAUGUCUGGGGACCUGCCCGGUGGAGGGAGAUAACUACUGGAAACGGUGCCUAAUACCCCAUACUAUCGGAUGAACCCAUAUGGGAUUAGCUAGUAGGUGGGGUAAAGGCUCCCCUAGGCGGCGAUCGCUAGCUGGUCUGAGAGGAUGAUCAGCGACACUGGGACUGAGACACGGCCCAGACUCCUACGGGAGGGAGCAGUGGGGAAUAUUGCACAAUGGGGGCAAGCCUGAUGCAGCCAUGCCGCGUGUAUGAAGAAGGCCUUAGGGUUGUAAAGUACGUUUAGCGGGUAGGCGUUACCCGCAGAAGAAGCACCGGCUAACUCCGUGCCAGCAGCCGCGGUAAUAC